CUCAGUCCUCGUGCUCGUGGAGUAUGUUGGGUUUAAGCUCCCGCAACGAGCGCAACCCUUUAAGCUUAGUUGCCAUCAUUAAUGUUGGGCACUCUAAGUUGACUGCCGGUGACAAACCGGAGGAAGGUGGGGAUGACGUCAAAUCAUCAUGCCCCUUAUGAUUUGGGCUACACACGUGCUACAAUGGACAAUACAAAGGGUAGCGAAACCGCGAGGUCAAGCAAAUCCCAUAAAGUUGUUCUCAGUUCGGAUUGUAGUCUGCAACUCGACUAUAUGAAGCUGGAAUCGCUAGUAAUCGUAGAUCAGCAUGCUACGGUGAAUACGUUCCCGGGUCUUGUACACACCGAAAAA
rnacentral:rRNA from 1 species